AGAGUUUGAUCCUGGCUCAGAACGAACGCUGGCGGCAGGCCUAAAACAUGCAAGUCGAACGCCCUAGCAAUAGGGAGUGGCGCACGGGUGAGUAACGCGUGGGAAUGUGCCCCUUAGUACGGGACAACGUCGGGAAACUGACGCUAAUACCGUAUAAUAUCUCAGGAUCAAAGAUUUAUCGCUGAGGGAGCAGCCCGCGUCUGAUUAGCUAGUUGGUGAGGUAAUGGCUCACCAAGGCUACGAUCAGUAGCAGGUCUGAGAGGAUGAUCUGCCACACUGGGACUGAGACACGGCCCAGACUCCUACGGGAGGCAGCAGUUAGGAAUAUUGGACAAUGGGCGAAAGCCUGAUCCAGCCAUGCCGCGUGUGUGAUGAAGGCCCUAGGGUUGUAAAGCACUUUCGUUGGGGAUGAUAAUGACCGUACCCAAAGAAGAAGCACCGGCUAACUUCGUGCCAGCAGCCGCGGUAAUACGAAGGGUGCAAGCGUUGUUCGGAAUCACUGGGCGUAAAGAAUGCGUAGGCGGCUUAACAAGUCAGAAGUGAAAUCCCAAGGCUCAACCUUGGAACUGCUUUUGAAACUGUUUUGCUAGAGUCCCGGAGGGGUUAGCGGAAUUCCGAGUGUAGAGGUGAAAUUCGCAGAUAUUCGGAGGAACACCAGUGGCGAAGGCGGCUAACUGGACGGGAACUGACGCUGAGGCAUGAAAGUGUGGGGAUCAAACAGGAUUAGAUACCCUGGUAGUCCACACCGUAAACGAUGUGUGCUAGUUGUCGGGCAGCUUUGCUGUUCGGUGACGGAGCUAACGUUUUAAGCACACCGCCUGGGAAGUACGGCCGCAAGGUUAAAACUCAAAGGAAUUGACGGGGACCCGCACAAGCAGUGGAACAUGUCCUUUAAUUCGUAGCAACGCGAAGAACCUUACCUACCCUUGACAUAUCAGUUGGGAUUUCCAGAGAUGGAUUUCUUCAUUUAGUUGGACUGAAUACAGGUGCUGCAUGGCUGUCGUCAGCUCGUGUCGUGAGAUGUUGGGUUAAGUCCCGCAACG
rnacentral:rRNA from 1 species